AGCCAUCUGCAAGCGUUUAACGAUGGCCAGCAAGAUUGGACUCUGUGACUGGACCAACUCGUUUCGGGGGAUCUCGAGCCUCUCGUCGUCGCUGUCGAAGACUUCGACGUGCAGCAACAGAUUCAUUCCGUGCCAGUCAUCGUCCAAGCUCCACCAGUUUAGGCUGAACGACAAGGCGUCGCCGGUGAAGGACGGCGGGAACGAGGCCUACUCGAUCUGGCUGUUGAGAUUAGAGCUUUUUGGGUCUAAUUUCAAUUCUUUUCUGCUCCUGCAGGUGGCGUUGCCAAUAUGGACGGUGGGAACAUUCCGGGCCCAACUUCCCAAACCCUAGCGCUCCCAAUUCUUCCACCAUGCCAUGGACGGCGUAGUCGUCGGCAACAUAGUCAAGAUGAAACCGCUCAGAUUCUGGUUGAGUUCUUGGAGGUGGCAAUCACAUCAAUCGUUUUCCUCAAAGGAAUUUAUCCUGCAGGUGAUGUUGAGAGAAGGAAGAAUAUGAAUUUGGUUGUUCAUAUAGCUCGGCACCUUGAGCUCAGAGAUUAUAUCCAUUCUGCUGUCUCAGGACUUCUUCCUUUUAUCAAAAAGGUCUAAGCUGCCAACAACCUUGUUCAAAAUUUUGAAUUUGAGAUUGAAGGGUUGCAGACUGAAUAUUGUUUGGUCGAAGAAAUAAUUUCAGAUCUGGAUGUCUAGGGUUAUAGAUCUAUCCCAGGUAGCUAAUCCAAUCUUCAGUGUUUUGACAGAUUGAGAAUGAGUAUGGACCCAUGGAAUACGAAAUUGGUGCACCAAGUAAAGCCUACAUUGACUGGGCAGCUCAAAUGGUUGUGGGACUAAACACUAGUUUCCCCUGGGUCCUGUGCAAACAAGAUGAUUCCCCUGAUCCUGUUAUUAACGCUUGAUAUGGCUUCUAUUGUGACUACUUCUCUCCAAACAAGGCUUAUAAACCAAAGAUGUGGGCUGAAGCCUAGACUGGAUGGUUUACUGAGAUAUAUUGGAGGUGCAGUUCCUUACCGACCAGCUGAGGGUUUGGCAUUUUCAGUUACGAAGUUUAUACAAAAGGGUGGAUCAUUCAUUAACUAUUAUAUGUACCAUGGAGGAACAAAUUUUGGGCAAACUGCUAGCUGGUGGUCUUUUCAUCGCUGCUAGCUAUGAUUACGAUGCUCCUAUGGAUGAAUAUGGAAUGUUGGGGCAACCUAAAUGGGGCCAUUUGAAAAGAGAGAGGCAUUCAAUGCUAGAAGGUGAUGGAACAAAUGGAAAGCUUCCUUUGAAACCUAUUAUAUACUUCCAAGAGGCAAAUGGUUGAGUUCUUGUCUUGAUACUUUAAAGAUCAACAUGGAAUUCCUUCAGCGUUGUAUAUUUCCUCGCUGUACUUUCAGCAUGCCAGAUGCUGUCUAUUGUGCCAUGUUUAUGCAUACUCUUCAUUCCCUGGGGACACCAUUUUUUAGCACAGUCAACCACAUGGAUGUUCUUAUAUGUAGAACCUUACAGCCUAUGAUAUGCUGCUGCUGCAGUGAAUCUGAAGUUGGUAGACUGGGGAAGUUUCUCUGUGAGACCUUGAAAAUUGCUUACUAUUGGAAGAGUGAUGAAUCUAUUUAUGAGCGCGAGUGUGGAAACAUGCCAGGAUUUGCUGUCUACUAUAGGUUUCCAGAUAGCCAGCGGGUCUGAUAUGGCCAGUUAAUUUGUCAAGAAAUAUGAUGUUGACACAGCAGCAAAGGCAACUGUCCUUGGCAUCCAAGUUGGGUGUGGAUUCAGGCCUAAGAUUCCAUGUAGGAGAUGAAUCUAGAGCUAAUGCUGCACAAGAUAAUGAACUUUUCCAUCAUAAUCUUCAAGCAUAUGCUGCACAAGAUGGAAAUUGGAUUGCUCGUAUUGCAGCAUUGCUUGUGGGUGAGGAUCGAACACAAUCUUAUAUAGCUUAUGAAAUUGGAAGGCUUAGUUCAAUGAAAUGUUUAAAUGCUUAUAAAAUUGUAUAUAGUGAAUCGAUUGGAGUUUGUUUUGAUGUAUCAAAGUUGCUUUUAGCAUUAAUAUAAAAUUAUUGUUCAUUGGUAAUAAUCUCUAGCAUUGAUUUUGUAUGAUUGCACCUAGCAUUGAUCUCAUACAACACAAUACAAAACAAUGUAUUGUAUGACUGUAAAUGAGUUCAA